UAAAGAGCUCAUUUCCCGUUGUCAUUCUUGUGACGGUACUCUACCUCCGACAACAUGAAGCUACUUUACAUCCUAUUAAGUUGUGUACUUCUCGGGGUGAGUCUGACAAGUGCAGGACCUCCAGGGCUAAUACGUCGUAAAGUCAUAGCUCCAGUGAGAGCUGCCUAUCCGUACAAAAGAUUUGUGUUAUUACCUGACGGAAGAUCCCUGCGCGAAUUGGAAGGCUUCGACUGGAAUGAGGAUUAACAACAAAACGGCGCAUGGUCUUCAUGGAAACAUCUGAUUGGAUAGUGUGUCAAGAUCUACACAUCGCCUCCAGAAUGAUUGUGACACAAA
rnacentral:sRNA from 1 species